rnacentral:rRNA from 1 species
AUGGCGACGGACAAGUUGACCAUAUACCUGCACUAUGAAGAUACAAAUCAGGAAGCCAAAAUUUUACAAAGAUCCAUGAUGAGACGUGAUGUCUCGUAUUACGACUUAAUCUUGAUGAUCGAAGAAGUUGGCUUUCAGGCAAUUGACUUUCUGUACUAUGCAAAAAAAACCCGUCUAGGCAGCUCCUACUUAGUUCACAUUUAUGAUGAAGGUCUUGUGAUGAAAAUGUUGUCCGACCCUGAGAUUGUGAAAGCUGUCCAUCUGUAUGUGUCUAAGGAGAAGGCUGACGAUCAUAUUGCUCCGCCUAGCAAGCAAAUUGAUGUUGCUCCAUCUAACCAUCCAAAUGAGAGUGUUCUCUUACAGGACGGUGGUGUCUCUGCUGAAGCGGCAGGGCAACUUACUACGCAAGGGCCGCAAAGACCACCACGUAGGUCAAAAAGGUUGAAUGUGAUUCAGGUUACGGACCAACGUGAUGAUGAAGAUGGAGACUGCAACAAUGGUGAGCAAUUCCCACAAGGUCAUGAAUCACAAGCAUUGGUCGGUGAAGAGGGUCAAGUUCACAAUCAAGUAGACAAAGAAGUACGCAAGCGCAAGAGAACAAGCUUGCCAAUUGUCUGGAACAUGCCAAAGGGGCAGAGAAUAGUUGUGAAAUGCAAUGAAGAUAGCCAGCCUAUAGGAGAUGAAGGUGCAAUCUUGGGGAAGUUUCUGGGCACGGUUGCUAGAAAUGGAGGAUUUUGCCCACUAAACAUAAAUGAUUGGCGUCAUGUCAAAAAGAAUAGUGGUGAGGAAACAAUAUUGCAGUGCGUACAGACAAAGUUCGUGUAUCCUCGAUCAUGUGAAAAAUGGAUACUCAAAUCAAUUGGAAGAGACUGGAGGAAAUUUAAGUCUAGUUUGAAAGAUGCUUUCUUCAAACCCGCCAUUGAAAAAAAUCCAAACAUCAAGCGAAAGGCUUUGUAUAAGCUCUGUCCAGAAGAUGUGGACGACGUCAAUGGUGUGGGCUUGUUAAAUAUUGGAAGUCCAAAAAAGGAAGGGACCUUGCUGAGAAGAACAUAA